AAGUCCUUGGCUGCAGAUCUUGUAUGUCUGUUUCUUGCUCAAUCUUUUCCACCUCUCUCGUUAUGGAAUCAAUUUCUUCUGUUACUUUGUUCACUUGGGAAAAGAAAUUUGUUUCCUGGGAUUUACUGCACAAGGUUUUUUUAAGUAUACUCAAACAAGAGCAACUCUUCUCCUUGUAAUCUGCAGAUGUUUCAAUAAUUCGAUUCGUAAUGUGAGAUUCGAUGGUAUUUGCUGCUUCGUAUGCCGCAUCUCUCAUUCGAUCCUCUAAACANN
rnacentral:lncRNA from 1 species